GUUGUAGACGUGGAAGGUGGAGGUCACUCAAAGUUUGAAGGUGGAGUUAGAAUAUCUACCAUUCAUCUACUUGGCCUUGCCAAAGGUUUGAACAUGGACGGGAGGGUUGGAGACUACUGUCAGGUGGCCGGAAGGCAUCCUUUCAAGCUGGCCUCACGAACUUUUGAGACCCAAGAAGGAUAUACUAUUACCUGAGUAAACAGGAAGUGCAGAGCAAGCAACCUCCAAAACUAUAGAAAUAACAAAGACAUCUGGAUGCCUGGACAGUCACCCAAGGUUCCUCUGCAAUGUUGGGGUGUCAUCUUCAGCCUACAGGCCUAGAACAGCUGACAGACUUUUCUGUGAAGCAAGAAUCUCGAAGGACUGUCUUGCUUUGUGUUGGCAAAGGUCAGCAGUCUCUUCCCUU